AGCUACUUUGGAGGCCAAGGCAGGAGAAUCAUAAGUUUAAGGCUAGCCUAAGCAACUUAGUGAGAACUUGCCUCAAAAUAAAAAAUAGAGCCAGGCGCAUUGGUGCAUGCCUGUUUUCCCAGUGGCUCAGGAGGCUGAGACAGAAGGAUCACAAGUUCAAAGCUAGCCUCCGCAAUUUACUAAGGCUCUAAGCAACUCAGCAAGACCCUGUCUCAAAUAUAAAAUAAAAAGGGCUAGGGAUGUGGCUCGGUGGGUAAAAGCCCCUAGGUUCAUUCCGAGGUACCUAAAUUAAUUAUUAGUAAUCAAAAUUAGAAAAGGCUGCUGUUCAGUGGUAGAGUGCUCCUGGGUUCAAUCUCUAAUACUGAAAAAAAAAAAAUAUAAAAUUUACCUAUUUCAUCCAAAAUAAUUAAAUCCUUUGGGUGAGACCAUAACCAUGAUAUUGCUUUGUAAUUUGCUUUUUCACAGUUGCUAUUCAUGGCCAAGAGGAUAACCCCAAGCAAAGAAAUGGAAGCAAAAUAAGCCAAUUAUGGAGUAGGAAGUGCUUGCUUUAGGUUAUUUAGAGAAGUUUAUCAUGAGUAAGAUAUAGUUCAGUAUGAAUGAAAACAUCACUUAUAUUAAAUGAUUUCUUGAGUUGGACUUCAUACCAGUGAGCCAAAUGGGACUAUGAACUGUGGAUCCACAAGAAAAGGAUCUGACUUAACUGAGGACUAUUUGAUUAUAUACAGCCACACAAAAAUGGCAUGAAGCAAGGUUUCUGGUGGAGAUAACUUUGACAUGGGUAUCGAUGGACAUAAGAGGCAGAGGUGGGGGAUGCAGAGGGGGGCCGGAAAUAGAGGCAAAGCUGGACCAAACCAAAAGAACUACUGGCUGGGUUUUAGCUGGACAUGGUGGAUGCCAACCAAACUGAAGAAGAUUCUUUACUGGACACUUUUUUUUUUUUUUUUGGUACCAGGGAUUGAACCCGGAGGUGCUUAACCCCUGAGCCACAUCCCUUGCCCUUUUUUGUUUUCUGAACCAGGGUCUUGCUAAAUUGCUUACGACCUCAUUGACCUCAUUAAACUAUUCAUAUUGUGGCUUUGAAUGCUGGCUUUGAAUUUGAGAUCCUUCUGCCUCAGCUUCCUUUGCUGCUGAGAUUACAGGUGUGCGCCACAGCACCCGGCUGGCUGCUAGACACUUUUGAACACUGAUAUUGAUAGGGAAAAUUACUUAGGCCAAUUAGGUCAAAAUAAAAAAUGAGUCAUAGAUGGGACAGCUUCCAGAAACUGGAACAGAUUCUGAGAAUGCCAAACAAGAAGAUAAUCUGACAGUAUUUAUAGAAAUAACAGAUGUGAGGCAUAGAAAAUAAAUUAACUACAGGAUGGUCACUCAACCAUUCAACUGGUUACACUAAACUAGUUACUCAGCUUUGUUAAUUGGGUAUCAGGCCUCCAACUAAAAGUUGCUUCAACCAUCUAUUAUUAUGAUUAAACUCUACAUUGGUUUGCUCUGUUAGUCUCAGUGUGGUUGCCCAGUCCAAAUCCAUGAUCCCUGCCCCCCAAAUUUUCAUAUCCAGCUGAGAAGGAGUCUGAGAUUCAUCUAAAAGGUGUUUAGCAAGCUAAGAGGAAGUGAUGCAGAGGUGUGGAAGGAUUAAUCAGGAUAAACUGGAAUAAGAAUGCCUGAAUUAGGAUAACUCAAUGGUAAUAAUCUAGGGGAAGGAUACAAGACUACAAAUUGUUGGUGGAAGUCAAAAGAACAAGAAGGGGUGAAUCUGAGUCAUGAAAGAGACAAAAUCACUUCUCUAUUUUAAAUCUUUUUUUUUUUUUUGUACUAGAGAUUGACCCAGGAGCACUUAACCACUGCAGAAAAUUAUACUAGACUGACAGCAAGUCAAUUUAGUGUAUCACUACUGGCAUUUUUUUUUAAUUAAAGUACUACUUUAUUAAAUGAGUUAUUUUACACAAUAUGAACAAUUGCAAUUGUAAAAAAAAAAUUUAUAACAAGGACGGACUGAUUUUCAGAUUUCCAAAUCAGAGUCAAUCAGAAUUGUCUUUGCAUGAAGCCCAAAAGGGAACAGCAUAAAAAUGAGUGUUUCUGUAGCCCCUUGAUUUUUGCUGAUCAACAGUUUGUUAGAAAAGCAGCUGUAGGUUUGUUACAUAAGGUCUGAGACAGUAGAAGAGUCAAAGGUGUCAUGAAUUCACCUAUAAACAACUUUAUGCCUGAACAUCAGCCAAUUCUGGAGGAAGUGGAGUCUUAGGGUGCUUGCUCUCAAAGUGCUGCUUGAAAGUCUUAGGGUCUGGCAUUUGUGUCCUACAGACAGUGCAGGUAUACGUUAAGGCAGCUUUGGCAGCAGCCUUUUGGUUAUGUCCUUGUUUCUUCUUUUGUCCAGCCUGCUUUUGGGCAUUUUUUCACUGAGACUGAAUCUUCUACUGUCCACGAGCCAUGUCUGGGCUGGGACAGUCUUCCUGGGGAAAGUCAUGGAGGGAAAGAAGGGGGAGCGCUCCCAGCGCCCAGCAUUGCUUCGACCUCCUCCAAACGCCAAAGAGGGGUGGCAAUUUUUUUUUUAAGAUGGUAAAAUACAAAGUGUAGAUUGUUCCAUAAAUCUUUUAUUUCAAUUUUAAGUAAUAUAGGUGUAUUGGAUCACCCUAUAAAAUUUAUUUCUUACCUGAGUUGUGGUCAAACAUGUGAAGGACACUGUACACUGUUCUAAAUUAGUAGUUGUGUUACUUUUUCAUUAUGGUGUCCAAAAUACCUGACAAGGCUAUCUUUUUUUUUUUUUCUUUUUAAAGGAGAGAGAGAGACAGACAGACAGAGAAUGAGAAUGAAUCUUUUUUGUAGAUGGACACAACACAAUGUCUUUAUUUUUAUGUGGUGCUGAGAAUCGAACCAAUCUCGCGCGUGCUAGGGGAGGGCUCUACUGCUGAGCCACAAUCCCAGCGCACAAGGCUAUCUUAAAGGAAGAAAAGUUGGGGCUGAGACUGUGGCUCAGCAGUAGCGCACUUGACUGGUAUGAGUGAGGCACUGGGUUUGAUUCUAAGCACUGCAUGUAAAUAAAUAAAAUAAAGGUUUAUCAACAACUAAAAAAAUAUAUAUUUUUUUUAAAAAGGAGAAGUUUUGGGGGGGCUCAUCUUUCUAGAAGUGUUAGUCCAUGGUGGCUGACUGCAUUGUUUGGGGCCCAAGGUAAGGCAGAAUAUCAUGGCAAAGGAACAUUGCUCUGUUCAUGGCAGCCAGGAAGGAAAGAGAAAGAGUGAGAAAGAGAGCAAGAACUGUGCGCAGGAAGCGGGUGAGUAAUGUGGAGGGGAGUGCACAAUGAACAUGAACCCUUCCAGGGCAGACCAGUGAUCCACCUCCAACCAUGCCCAUCUGCUUACAGUUAUCACUCGGUUAGACCAAACUAGGAUGGACUAAUUAGGUUAUAGCUUUCAUAAAGUAAUCAUUUCACCUAUGAAUUUCUGCAUUCACACAGGAGAUUUGGUGGGACAAGUCAUAUCUAAACCAUAACUGUAGUCUUCAAAAUCCUGUUUGCAUGAAUAUAUCACUGUAGUUAAGCCGGACUCCGUGGUGAACACCUGUGAUCCCAGUGGCAGGAGGAUCCCUAGUUCAAAGCCAGCCUCUGCAUCUUAGCGAGAUCCUAAGAAAUUUAGCGAGAUCUUGCCUCAAAAUAAAAUAUAAAAAGGAGCUGGGCUCAGUAGCCCACACCUGCAAUUGCAGCAGCUUGGGAGGCUGAGGCAGGAAGAUCACAAAUUCAAAGCCAGCUUCAGCAAAAGCGAGGCACUAAGCAAUUCAGUGAGACCCUGUCUCUAAAGAAAACACAAAAUAGGGUAGGAGAUGUGGCUCAGUGGUUGAGUACCCCUGAGUUUAAUCCCUGGUAUUCUCCCCCCACCAAAAAAAAUACACACACACACACACACACACAUAUAUAGGACUGGGGGUGUGGUUCAGUGAGUGAUUAAUUGUCCCUGCGUCUAAUUCCUAGUACAAAACAAACAAAUAAAAAACAUAAAUUUAGGCAAAAAAAGAUUUCAAGUCAAUUAUAAACAUUACCAUUAUUAAAUAAAACUUAAAGUUUUUCCAUUGUAGUGAUUAGAUACCUGCCAUCAUCCAUGUGAAAGACACAUGAACAAGUUUUCUUUAAUAGUUGUAACUUUUAUGAGAUGAAGAACAUCUCAUUUGCCCUUUAAACUCAGAAUUCCAGAUGGGUGCUGUGGCACAGGAGGCUGAGGCAAGAGGAUCGCAAGUUCAAGGCUAGUCUCAGCAACUUAGACCCUGUCUCAAAAUAAAAUAAAAAGGGAUGGGGAUGUAUCUCAGUGGUAAAGAAUGGCUGUGUUCAAUCCCCAGUACUGCAAAAUGAUCAAACUUAGAAUUCCAUUCUACCCAAGAUAAAACUUAAUUUAUAUUUUUAUACUAGAAAACCUAUAUACAUCUCUGCAAUAAAAAUAAAUUGAAAUUGAAGUUUUAAUAACUUCCUGUGACCAGAAGGCACUAGUGUUAAAAUUUUCUUCAUUGCAUUAUCAAUGUUUACAAAUAUACAAUUGAUGAAAUAUUCUUCACAUUUUGAUAAUUAAACAUAAAAACUAAAUUUUUAUUGCGAUAUGACUUAAUGAGACUGAACUUUUUUUCUAUUAAUUCAUAUGCCCAUGAAUGAAUAUCAUUGCUGCUAAAACGAGACAGGUUUUAACAAUUUUGGUGGCGAGGUGCAGGGCUUUGCACAUGUUAGGCAUAUACCCUACCACUGAACUAUAUCCCAGCCCAAGACAGGUUUAACAUCAAUUCUAUUCCUAUUUUUCAUUCUUUUUUAUAAUUCUUGUGUUUAGAAACUAUAUAAAUGAUUCAGAAAUGGAUUGUACCAAACAAUGGACAAAGGAGAAUCAUUCUAUGCCUUUUCUUUUGUCACUCAAAAAUAUAAUGUUAUCACUAUGAUUGUUGUUGCUUUUCAUCUUGUAUUUAUAAAAUACAAUAUGUGUGUGUAUACCAUGGUCUACUGUCCCUUUCACACAAAUUUGAGGCCCCCUUUUUACUACUGAUAUAUCGUAUCUCUAAGGCAUGGCUGGAACUCUGAUAUUCUGUGCCAUGUUGUCUUUUGGCUGAAAUCACAUCUUUCAAGAGACAACUACUGGAUAGGGGUUGUGGCUCAUUUGUAGAGUGCUUGCC
rnacentral:lncRNA from 1 species